rnacentral:rRNA from 1 species
ACGGCUGAGUAACGCGUGGGUGACGUACCUGUUGGUGGGGAAUAACUGCCCGAAAGGGUGGCUAAUACCGCAUAGGUCCUUCGGAUCGAGCCGACGGACAAAGCUUCGCGAGAGGCGCCAAUGGAGCGGCCCGCGUCCGAUUAGCUGGUUGGUGGGGUAACGGCCUACCAAGGCGUCGAUCGGUAGCUGGUCUGAGAGGAUGGUCAGCCACACUGGGACUGAGACACGGCCCAG